UAGGGAAUCUUCCACAAUGGACGCAAGUCUGAUGGAGCAACGCCGCGUGAGUGAAGAAGGUCUUCGGAUCGUAAAACUCUGUUGUUAGAGAAGAACACGAGUGAGAGUAACUGCUCAUUCGAUGACGGUAUCUAACCAGCAAGUCACGGCUAACUACGUGCCAC
rnacentral:rRNA from 1 species